rnacentral:lncRNA from 1 species
AGAGCCAUGUAUAAAAAUGGACUAGCUCUCUCCCUCUCCCUCUCCCUCUCCCUCUCCCUCCCUCUCCCUCUCCCUCUCCCCACGGUCUCCCUCUCCCUCUCUCCACGGUCUCCCUCUGAUGCCGAGCUGAAGCUGGACGGUACUGCUGCCUGAUUCUCCUGCCUCAGCCUGCCGACUGCCUGCGAUUGCAGGUGCGCGCCGCCACACCUGACUGGUUUUCGUAUUUUUUUGGUGGAGACGGGGUUUUGCUGUGUUGGCCGGGCUGGUCUCCAGCUCCUAACCGCGAGUGAUCCGCCAGCCUCGGCAUCCUGAGGUGCCGGGAUUGCAGACGGAGUCUCGUUCACUCCGUGCUCAAUGGUGCCCAGGCUGGAGUGCAGUGGCGUGAUCUCGGCUCGCUACAACCUUCACCUCCCAGCAGCCUGCCUUGGCCUCCCAAAGUGCCGAGAUUGCAGCCUCUGCCCGGCCGCCACCCCGUCUGGGAAGUGAGGAGCGUCUCUGCCCAGCCGCCCAUCGUCUGGGACGUGAGGAGCGUCUCUGCCUGGCCGCCAUCCCAUCUAGGAAGUGAGGAGCGCCUCUUCCCUGCAGCCAUCCCAUCUGGGAAGUGAGGAGCGUCUCUGCCCGGCCGCCCAUCGUCUGAGAUGUGGGGAGCACCUCUGCCCUGCCGCCCCGUCCGGGAUGUGAGGAGCGUCUCUGCCCGGCCGCCCCCUCUGAGAAGUGAGGAGACCCUCCGCCCGGCAACCGCCCCGUCUGAGAAGUGAGGAGCCCAUCCGUCCAGAAGCCACCCCGUCUGGGAAGUGAGGAGCGUCUCUGCCCGGCAGCCACCUCGUCCGGCAGGGAGGUGGGGGGGUCAGCCCCCCGCCCGGCCAGCCUCCCCGUCCGGGAGGGAGGUGGGGCGAUCAGCCCCCUGCCCGGCCAGCCGCCCCGUCCGGGAGGUGAGGGGCGCCUCUGCCCGGCCGCCCCUACUGGGAAGUGAGGAGCCCCUCUGCCCGGCCAGCCGCUCCGUCCAGGAGGGAGGUGGGGGGGUCAGCCCCCCGCCCGGCCAGCUGCCCCGUCCGGGAGGGAGGUGUGGGGGUCAGCCCCCCGCCCAGCCAGCCGCCCCGUCCGGGAGGGAGGUGGGGGGGUCAGCCCCCCGCCCGGCCAGCCUCCCCGUCCGGGAGGGAGGUGGGGGGAUCAGCCCCCUGCCCGGCCAGCCGCCCUGUCCGGGAGGUGAGGGGCGCCUCUGCCCGGCCGCCCCUACUGGGAAGUGAGGAGCCCCUCUGCCUGGCCGGCCGCCCCGUCCGGGAGGGAGGUGGGGGGGUCAGCCCCCCGCCCGGCCAGCCGCCCCGUCCGGGAGGUGAGGGGCGCCUCUGCCCGGCCGCCCCUACUGGGAAGUGAGGAGCCCCUCUGCCCGGCCACCACCCGGUCUGGGAGGUGUACCCAACAGCUCAUUGAGAACGGGCCAUGAUGACAAUGGCGGUUUUGUGGAAUAGAAAGGGGGGAAGGGUGGGGAAAAGAUUGAGAAAUCGGAUGGUUGCCGUGUCUGUGUAGAAAGAGGUAGACGUGGGAGACUUUUCAUUUUGUUCUGUACUAAGAAAAAUUCUUCUGCCUUGGGAUCCUGUUGAUCUGUGACCUUACCCCCAACCCUGUGCUCUCUGAAACAUGUGCUGUAUCCACUCAGGGUUGAAUGGAUUAAGGGCGGUGCAAGAUGUGCUUUGUUAAACAGAUGCUUGAAGGCAGCAUGCUCCUUAAGAGUCAUCACCACUCCCUAAUCUCAAGUACCCAGGGACACAAACACUGCGGAAGGCCACAGGGUCCUCUGCCUAGGAAAACCAGAGACCUUUGUUCACUUGUUUAUCUGCUGACCUUCCCUCCACUAUUGUCCUGUGACCCUGCCAAAUCCCCCUCUGCGAGAAACACCCAAGAAUGAUCAAUUAAAAAAAAAAAAAAUGGACUAGGGGCAGGGCACAGUGGCUCACGCCUGUAAUCCCAGCACUUUGGCAGGCUGAGGCAGGUGGAUCACCUGAGGUCGGGAGUUCGAGACCAGCCUGACCAACAUGGAGAAACCCCACCUCUACUAAAAAUACAAAAUUAGCCGGGUGUGGUGGUGCAUGCCUGUAAUCCCAGCUACUUGGGAGGCUGAGGCAGGAAAAUCGCUUGAACCUGGGAGGCAGAGGUUGCAGUGAGCUGAGAUCGCGCCAUUGCACUCCAGCUUGGGCAACAAGAGCAAAACUCCGUCUCAAAAUAGAAUAAAUAAAUGGACUAGGGAGAGGGACUGGGGGGACGAGAAGAGGGGGCCCAGUGGGAAAUGAUGAGGGUCUGUACUCAGGUGGGGAGAGUGGCAGCAGGGCUGGAGAAGAGGGGUGUUGAGGAGGACUUGAGGAGCUGGGCAGCAAAGGACCAGACCAGAGGGGCCACCCAGAGCUGGCGAGAGGUGUCAUCCCUGUCCACAUUCCCAUAGGGACAGCAGCGGAGGGAUCUUUGAUUUCACUAGAGGCAGAACCAGGAAAAGUAGGUUUAAGAUUUGGGAUUAGGCCAGGCAUGGUGGCUCAUGCCUGUAAUGCCAGCACUUUGGGAGGCUGAGGCAGGCAGAUCAUUUGAGGUCAGGAGUUCAUAACCAGCCUGGCCAACAUGGUGAAACCCCGUCUCAACAAAAAAUACAAAAAUUAGCCGGGCUUGGUGGUGCGCACCUGUAGUCCCAGCUACUAGGGAGGAUGAGGCAGGAGAAUCACUUGAACCCAGGAGGCAGAGGUUGCAGUGAGCUGAGAUUGCACCACAGCACUCCAGCCUGGACGACAGAGCAAGACUCUGUCAAAACAAAACAAAACAAACACAAUAAAAGAUUUGGGAUUAAAGGAUUGGAGGAACAUCCUGGCUCCACAGAAUGUGACACUUGAUACCAUCCAGCCAGAGUAGCCCAGGGCUUCACGCAGUCUGUGGGAUGGAGAAGGAGGGACAGCUGGUGGCUCCUGGUGGGGACACGUGUCCCGUUUUGCCUCCAUUUGUUGGGUGACCUUAGUCCACCUACCAACCACUUUGUGCCUUGGUUUCCUUAUCUGAAAAAUGGGAAUCAAAUGGUACCUAACUCACAGGGUUGCUAGGAGGUUUCACUUCUCUGUGUAAAGCACUAAGAUGCCUGGCUCAGUAGACACGGCCUCAUGUUGCCAUUUCACACGCCAGCGCCCACGCAGCACCCAGGCAGCACCAGCUAAUGGAGGGCAGUUAACGUUGGUGAUGUGGGGGCAGGAGGCACGAUCUUGGCAAAUACCAGGCCUGGCUUCAAAGGAAGGCCCAGGUUCGGGGCCACCUUCUGGGCUUGGGCUUAGGUGCAAUUUUUUUUUUUUUUUUUUGAGAUGGAGUCUUGCUCUUUUUCCCCAGGCUCGAGUGCAAUGGUGCAAUCUUGCUCACUGCAACUUUUGCCUCCCGGGUUCAAGUUAUUCUCCUGCCUCAGCCUCCAAGUAGCUGGGAUUACAGGCGUGAGCCAUCAUGCCCGGCCUUGGGUGCUAUUUUGAACCCCUUUGAUGCCCUGUGAGCAGCUCUCACUUGCCACUCACCCAAUGCCUGGGGGGCAGGGAGGUCGACGCUUCAUGGAGAUUUCCAUAGGAUGGAUGCCUGGUCCAGCAGGGUCCCAAUGGGCAGGGGCAGAGGCAGGCAGAGGAAAGGGUCACAAAUCUCAUAGCCCUAGAAGGGAGUGAGAAGAGGAACUGGCGGGCACAGCCACUCACAUCAUAGCAGAGGACCUGCACCGUCAAAGCCAAACUAGCAGCAUGUCCAAGACCCAAAUCCUUCAUCUGCUUACCCUCCUUCCCACCUCCCCCAAAACUGUUUCUAGCAUGUCCCCCUCCCCAUAGAAGGCAUCAUCACCCCCUCCACUCUUCACCCCCCCCCCAAAGCCAGCCAGUCCACAGCUAUCCCUUUCGGUCCCACCUGCAGCCAGCCCCUAAACCUACCACUGCCCUCAGUCGUGGGGUCUCUUCCUUCCUGGUGGUGACAGGGCCUUCUGAGUUUGCUAAGCACAGAUCUACACUGCAUCAAAGAGAUCAGAGAGGUGACUGGGAAAGGCAGAUUUGGUCAUGGUCCUCCCCAGCUAAAAACCUGUUGCCCUCAGGAGGAAGUCUGAGCCCGCCUUAGCUCCAUGGCCUCAGCUUCUGCAGUCUCCGUAUCAUCCACAGCUCACAGCCUCCUGCCGAUCAGUCAGCACGUCUUUCCAGACCUUCUGCUUGAAAUGCGAGUCUUCUAACAACUUGCCUGCUGAACUCCUACUCCUCCUUUCAGGGCUCAGCUUAAGCAUCGCCUGUGGCCAGGGCUCAGGGCCUGCCCUGCACCUUUCAUAUCGCCUCUCUGGGAGUGGCUUGUUUAAACAUCCCGGGAGCCUGGAGAGGUGGUAUCACAGGCAUUUGAACCAGAGCGACUCCAUCUUGAGUGAGGGCUAGGAAAAUGAAGUUGGGACUUGCAUUCCCAGAAGGCUAUUCCCAGCCUCUAGAUGUUUACAGUUAAGGAAAUGGAUUAAUAAUGUUUACUAACAAACCCAAACUUCGGAGUGUCCAGAUAUCCCGAUAUCUCGAGAACAAAGGCAUUCCUAAUUUUGCUUCAAAGAUAAUAAUAUUGAUUCUUGCAAAAUUUGGUAAUUUUAAAAAAGAAUCCUUUAUCACAAACCCUGUAGCAGAGCACAUCUCCCCAUGAUCUUUUUUUAUCCUAUAUAUAUACAAGCACUGUACCUAGGGUGGAUGCAUUCCUCCUCUUACUUUUGGGAAUGCCCUAUUCUGUCUAUGGAGUAGCUGUUCUUUCACCACUUGACUUUCUAAAUAAACUUGCUUUUCCUUUGCACCGCAGACUCGCCCUGAAUUCUUUCUUGAGCAAGAUCCAAGAUCCCUCUCUUGGGGUCUGGAUCGGGACCCCUUUCCUAUAACAGUGCGACCAGGCUGUCCCUGCUCACCAAGGUGUCUGGGCACGGUCGGUGACUGCUCUUUGUAGGUCUCGGUGAAAACCUGCGGAGGAAUGAGUGAGUGUAAGAAAGGGAAGGAGACAUUUUUAAUUAAGACCAGGCAAGAUUAGGCAAUAGGAGAAAAGACAGAUAUGAGUCAAAGCUUACUCACAUGUUCCUGGCCUGGGAGGCAGAGAUAGAUUGUCACUGUCCGCAGCCACGGCAGAGCUGGGCUGUAUCCUGGGCCUGAAAUGAAGAGGUACCUCCCUCUCCUCCCCUGCUUCCUGGGAUUCUGGGCCUGACAUCCUAUAGCAGGGUACACUGGAGACAGGGCCAGAUGAGUUGCCACACUGCAUUGUCCCUGGCAUGUCACCAUUUUUUGUAAUUUAUUGUUUUUUACUGUGGUGAAAUACACCUAACAGCCGGGCACAGUGGCUUACACCUGUAAUCCCAGCACUUUGGGAGGCUGAGGCAGGCAGAUCACUGGAGGUUCGGAGUUCAAGACCAACCUGGUCAACAUGGUGAAACCCCAUCUCUACUAAAAAUACAAAAAUUAGCCAGGCAUGGUGAUGGGCACAUGUAAUCCCAGCUACUUGGGAGGCUGAGGCACGAGAAUCGCUUGAACCCGGGAGGUGGAGGUUGCAAUGAGCUGAGAUCGCACCACUGCACUCCAGCCUGGUGACAAAGCUAGACUCCAUCUCAAAAAAAAAACAAAACAAAACAAAACAACAUCUUGCUUAGUAAGUUUGUGCUUGACCGAAAACUGAGGGGAAGAGCUAAAAUGAGACGUGAGAGUUAAGAUGGGAUUGCUGAGUGAGUCAAAAGAAAUUAAGAUUGAACUUGACAGUCAGCAUUUAAAAGAGAGAAGUCAGAUGCACAUCGACAAACUGGCCAUCUUUCAUACGGAAAAGAUCUGAGGGUUUGC